UACGGAGGGUGCAAGCGUUGCUCGGAAUUAUUGGGCGUAAAGGGUAGGUAGGUGGUCUCGUUUGUCUGAGGUGAAAGCCUUGAGCUUAACUCAAGAAGUGCCUCAGAAACGGCGAGACUAGAGUCUUGGAGAGGGUCGUGGAAUUCCCGGUGUAGCGGUGAAAUGCGUAGAGAUCCGGAAGAACACCGGUGGCGAAGGCGGUCUGCUGGGCAGUUGCUGACACUGAGGCGCGACAGCGUGGGGAGCAAACAGG
rnacentral:rRNA from 1 species